rnacentral:rRNA from 1 species
UACGGGGGGGGCAAGCGUUGUUCGGAAUUACUGGGCGUAAAGGGCUCGUAGGUGGCCAACUAAGUCAGACGUGAAAUCCCCAGGCUUAACCUGGGAACUGCGUCUGAUACUGGAUGGCUUGAAUUCGGGAGAGGGAUGCAGAAUUCCAGGUGUAGCGGUGAAAUGCGUAGAUAUCUGGAGGAAUACCGGUGGCGAAGGCAGGUCUCUGGGCUGACACUGACGCUCAUGCACGAAAGCGUGGGGAGCAAACAGG